UUUCAGUGAUGAUUUCACUUCCUUUUCUGUGUUCUUUGAUCUAUGUGUCCUUUCUCCAUCUCUUAUAAAGGCAAAUUCCUUUUUGCCUCAUGCACAACAAUUUAGCUGCCCUGUGACCUUGCUGUUCUUCUCUGAGCCUUGCCUAUCUCACAUUUUACCUUAAACAGUUUGUUAAGAAAUAUGAUCUGUCAAGGAAAAGUUCUUCCUUAAAAUCAUGCUUUUUCCCAUCUCAUUGUGUUUUUUUUUUGUUGUUGUUGUUGUUGUUGUUCAUCCCUUCAUUCAACAAAUAUUUACUUAAGUAUAUAAUGUGCUAGAUACUCUAUGCUGGGUGAUAGGAACACAAAAGUUAAUCCACGGGUCCUUACCCUGAAGCACUCCGUCUUGGUGGGGAAGCCACACCCUGUCCUAGGAAGGUAUUUUAUAGUACUUAGAGAACACAGUGGAGGGAAUGGCUGUAACAGAUCUGGGUGGUAGACUGCUACCUCUGUAGGUGUGGGGAGGGUUUUAGUCAGAUAUUUCAUUGCUGAAACCAAAGGAUUCGACACAAAACAAUAGAGGAGGAAAGGUUUAUUUGGGGACUUAUGGUUUCCAAGAUCUCAGUCUCUAGACAGCUGAUUCUAUUGCUCUUCCUGAAGUGAGACACAUAUCACAAUGGAAGAUUGUGAUGGAAGAAAGUGAGUCAGGACAUGGUCACCAGGAAGCAGAGAGAAAUUUCGCCUCUCACCAAGGACAAAAUAUAUAUACCCAAAAGAUGCCCCAAUGACCCACCUCCUCCAGCCACACACUACUUGUCUGUGGUUACCAUCCAAGUAAUCCCUACUAGGGGAUUAAAUUAGGUUAAAUCUCCCACAACCCAAUCAUUUCACCUCUAAUUUUCUUGCAUGAGCUUUUGGAGGACAAUUCAUAUGUAAACCAUAAAAGGGAGUGACUAUGCCAUUGAAAGGAGGUAGUUCUUCUAAACUAUUUCAAAAAACUUUGGUUUAGAAAGACAGGAAGUUGUUGUGGUGGUCCUCAGAUAAAAGGACAAGUCUGGGUGGUGUCAGCUCAUCCAUUCUACAGCUAGCUCAGAGCUCUCUAGAGGAAGGGAUGGAUAACCUCGGGCAAUAAAGUUCCAUAAACUCUUUUCCGAUGUUGGCUUUGUAGACGCAAUCAGGAUUAUGGUACAGUGGAAAUUCCAAGAGACUAGAUAUGUCUAUUGUACAUCUAUCUUCCCCACUAACUAGAACUGAGCAAACUGUUCAAUUUCUUUGACUCUCUUUGCUAUUAAAUAAGAGGAAAAAAUCUUUUACUCUUUUGCAAUCCAUUGUGAGGACCAACUGAGAGAAGGUCUGUGGAAGUUGUUUGAAAGAAAUACAUAAAUACAAGCUAUUCAUCAAUAUUAACUAAAUUUCCAAUCCCCCAAAUCCAAAGGCCUAAUGUUCUCUCUGAUUUGCGAUGCUGACUCACAAUAGGGGGCAGGGUUUGGAGGUUCACCCAAUUGGACCAGGGGAGUAUGACGGGAAAGAAAGAGGGAUGGGACUUGGAAAGACAGUAUUAACAUUCCCAUGUUCAUGUAUGCAUACACAACCAUUGUAACACCAUAUCAUGUACAACCACAAAAAUGGGAAGUUAUAGUCCAAGUAUGCAUUUCCAAAUACAUUCUACUGCCAUGUCAUGUAUAACUAAAAUAACAAAUAAAAAUUUAUUUCCAAAUUUUUGUAGGAUAAUAUAUUAAUGUUCAGAAAUUAAAAUCUGCAAGGUUUAUGACCUCAAAGUUCUAAGCCUUAAAAAGACUUCAUGCAUAGGGGUAUAGUAGAUAAAUAAAAUUUUAUAGCCAACUUGCUUUUAAUUUUAUAUUUACAUGUACUUGGCUACAAUUCUAAAUUAACCAGGUAACAGAAAGAUAAGCCACAAGAAAACUGAAUCUUUUUUUUUUUUUUUUUUUUGGUAACAGAGAUUGAACCCAUUGAGCCACAUCCCCAGCCCUAUUUUUGCAUUUUAUUUAGAGACAAAGUCUCACCAACUUGCUUAGCGCCUUGCUUUUCCUAAGGCUGGCUUUGAACUUGAGAUCCUCCUGCCUCAGCCUCCCAAGCCAUUUGGGAUUAUAGGUGUGGGCCACCACACCCUGAUCCACAUUUUUAAUACUGACUCUGGUUUCUAUUUUUGGUCCAUUCAAUCUGAUGGGAGCAUUUUGCUUGGAGACUUCUCCUUUGACUGUGUGUUUUAAUAACAAAAGCCAGCUUUCAAAUUGUGAGUCAAGUUACAAAACAGCAAACUGUAACGUUACUGGAAGGCCACACAGGCAAAAAGGCAAACAGAUCUAAAGAAAGAAUCUUAAAGCGUUGGCAAGCUCUGCUCUGAAACUGUUUCAAGAAACAUUGCCAAAGGUACAAUGCACCUUUAAAACAGAAAAGGUUGUGGGAUAAAAAUGAAAUAAAAAAGUACCAUAAUUAAUUGACAUUGAUGAGUAUAUUACUCUGAAAAAACAUUUUAUAGCAACAUAUUAGGCUUAGGAAUUAUUUACUAAUAACCUUCUUUUCUCAAAUACAGAAUGAAUUAUUUGCAAUUUUACUUUUUUUGGUAAAGAUUAAUAUAAUAAGAAAAAAUCCACGUUUUAAUCAGCCAUCCUUUUAAAAUUAAAAACUAAUAGCAAAGUUCCUUUUAAUGAGCAACAUUAUAAUGAGUAGAAUUUAAAUAUGACUUUUUAAAUUAAGAGUUUUGUAUAAGUCUGUUAUAAAUGUAAUUUGGAAAGCAAAGAGGUUGCCUAAAUCAGUGUUUUUAUAUAGUAUGUUUUGAUGUAUCCUAAUUAAUAUUCAUUUACUUUAUUUAAAGAAUUAAAGCAAAAAUAUAUUGAGACAGUUCUAGGACAAAAAUAAAUGGAUGAAAUCACCAUUAAACUUGAUCCAGUCCUUUCCUCAGUAUUCUACUUAAAAAUAGAAUAUAAAACUACUCAUUUCAAUUCAAAAUGACCCAAGGAGUCUCAGUACACAUUGUUCUUUAGCUUCUGCCUAAGAAAUAAACAUUUGAUCUAAUUUCAAAAUUAUCACAGAAAUGAUGCAGAAGCAUCUAGUCCUAUUCUUUCAUGCCUAGGUAAAGCAUUUGGCUGACUAAUUUUAUAUAACAAUAUGAUUACUAUAUAAAACUUGCAUUUGAUCGGAUGAAAAUUUUAGUUUUUGAUUUCAUGCAAAUAGGAACUGGAAUGUGAACUAGUAUUGUAUUCUUUUGAUUAUGUUGAACAAUUACUAAUUACAUCUUAGGCCAAUUUCAUUCAUGAUUGGUGCAAUUUUGAAAUUAUUAAGUUCUACAAUGUGGCUAAACUCUCUUGAUCUAUUAUUGACUCAACUAAAGGUACAUCGACCUAGUCAUAGAAGUUUCCCUCUUCUAAAAUAGUGUUCUUUGAAAAAGUAAAUGUUUUAUAAUUAAAUGUUUUAUCUCUCACCCCUAGAAAAGAAAAAUAAUACAUGUAAACAAGAAUUAUACAGCAACCUUAUAGUAAUAAGUUUUCUGCUAUAAACACAGUAUUCCCAAGAGGGCAUGAAAGGAAAGAUGUCUUAAAAAUUAUGGUGAUUUAAUUUUAUUUUGCCCUAGAAUGACAUUCUCUUGAGUAUUUGUGAAAAUGAAGAUGAAUAUGCAGGGAUACAUUUGGUUGAUUUUGUGCCAGAUGGCCAGUUGCAGAGGCUGAACUAAGCUGAACUGAUUGAUUCGUUUUUGCCAUAUUGCAUGCUGGCGCUUACCAGAGUUCACAUCAUUCAAGUACUAACAAAUUUGAUUUACAGAUUUGUAGCAAGAAAGAAUGUGUGUGGCUUUGCUAACACACCGGGAGAGAAAGAUACCUAAUGUUCAUGGGCAGUAAGUCCAACAUGUCCACUUUUUUUUUUUUCUUUUUGGAGCUGAACUUACUUUAAAGUCAUAUUUCAAAUUAUCCAAUCACCUCUUGCUGUUUAAAAGGAAUAAAAGUUGAGUUAGAAAUUGACUAAUUAUAAGGAAGAUUGGGCUUUAAACUUAGGAAACUACUAAAAGAUCAUAAUUUCAUAGUAUUCUUCUCAUUGUAACUUUUAGAGUGCUUACCUUUAAACUCAUAUUGAAAACCAUUAGCUACUUUAACCUCAUCAGAAUGAUAUAUAGUCAGAAUAAUUGUGCAUUUGAGUGAUAUGCAAUGCUAUAAUUAAUAAUCAGUAUUUUCUUUCAAUUUAGAAAAACAGCUGCAGCAAGAUGAUAAGGUAUAUUAUGAGAGUAAAGAAAGACCUGACUAUUAAUAAUUAUGAUUUAGGGUAAUCAAAAGUAGUGACGUAAUCAUUUCAUUUUAAAAAAUGGGUUAAAGUCUGUAAGUAGUUAGCUGAGUUAAGCAUGAAAAAGUAAAAAGUGCUCAAUUUUAGAAAUUGUAAAGAGUAUCAGGAAGUCUUUUAAAAUAUUAUUAAGGAUGUUACUUCUGCAUUAAUAGGUCUUAAUUUUUAUUACAAUUGUGCAAAGCUAAAAAGUACACCUUGAUCUUUCAGUGAUAAGUGUGGUGGUCAGUGAAGUCAGGACUCAAGUGUAAGAGAGUAAAUACAAACAGCUACAUCAAUUGAGGUCAGAGAAGGGGUUCACAUGUCAAGGAACUAGCUUUACAAGUAUCACAUUCAACGCAUUAAGUAGGAAUACCCUUAGUACAAUUUCCAUGAACAUUACAUUUGUCAAAGUAAUUAUCUUUCUUAAGUGUUAGCAGGACUCAUUCUUUCAAAAGAAUAAAUAAAAUGAGGCCAUCAAGAGAAUAAAUUGUUAGUUAAAAAGUUUUAGUAAAUAUUUAAAAAUUAAUAUGUUCAGGAAAAAUGUGAGGUACAAAAUAAAGUAAUAAUACAAAAUAAAGUAAUAAUUUGACAGUUAUGGGAUAUUGGACAAAUGAUAUAAUUUCAUUUCUUUUUAAAGUCUCUGUUUAGGGCAGUUAAUACAAGUAGAAUAUAGCGUUUCAUGUUAGAACUUUGUUUUAAGAUCUUUUAUCAUAAUUUUCCCUUCUUCCCAAAUAGAAGGAUUAUUAUAAGUCAUUUUGAUUAGACUGUCAAAAGCUUCUUUGUUGUAUUUUGCAGAGAGUAUGAAUAAUCUAUAUCAUGCUUUUAAGGAGAAAGAAUUUGAAAUUAGGCAGGUUAGUAGUUGGCCAAACAGAUUCAGUGUGCUGGUAUUCAUUUUGAAAACAAUAUCGCUUUAGAAAUGUCACGUGCAAAAAAAUCUAUGUAAUGGUGGGAUUCAUUUAUGUUAUUUUUGGUAUUUGAGGUUUUACUGUUGAGAGAAUGUUGAUAAUAUGACUAAUGGCAUCAUGAUAAUAUUUCGGGCUAAAGAAAACAAGUUACAAUUACUUAUUUUAAAGAAGUAUAUAUAUUUGUACUUUGUAAUAGUGUGUACUUGGUAAAGUAUUCACAGUGAAACCCCAUCUUUUUGGUAACUAUUUUUACCAUUAGAAUGAAAUAGCAUUUGGAAACAGUAGGGUAGUUUUCAUCUGCAGGAUUAAAAAGAAUCUGAACAGAAAAUGGAUUCAUAUCAUCUUCUUUUGGGGUACCAAACGUAGAAAAAUAUAUAGCAGUUGAUUUAUUAUAAGUGGGUUGAAUUUUCUCUCCUGGUGGGCUUUUGAAACCUUUAGUUGCUGUUCUUAUCCUUGCUGUGUGAAUAUCAUUUUUAUAUCACUUUUUGUUAAAAGGAAUUUCCCAUGAAAGUCCACCCAAAAUAGCCUGGAAUCUGAUUAUUCUCCUUCCAUGAAAAUUUUGAUGGGUUUGGGUCAGUUUUAUACCUCUCUUCAGUUCAUUUGAUUUUUACCAGGUUCUGUAAUGACAGAAUUGUUCAUGAAUGGAGAGGACAUUCUAGCCUUCAGGGCCAGACAGGAUUUUAUCCGAAUGACACAAAAGAACCACAAGGAGGGUAAUAAAAUCCCAUGCCAUUAGGAAGGCUAUGAGAUGGUGAAUUUUUAUGGUUAUAGUAGGUGAUCAGGUAAACAUUUUUACCUUUCCCUCUUGGAAAAUUUAAGUUGAAAAAGAGGGUAGAGGAGAAAAAGCAUUAAAAAAACAAACAAACAACAACAACGAAAAACCUUCCCAAGUACUUACUUUAGGAUGGUUUUAAAUUUUUAUAUUUCUGAAUUCAUAUGAAUUUUCUCUAGCCAAAACCUAUUUGUCUUAAUAAUAAAGAAGCUAGAAUGUGAUUAGGACCUUUAAGGUAAAUAUCAGAAAAAAACAACAAAUCCUAUAUUUUAAAAUUCAAACACUAUUGUGUUUUCAUUCCAUAAAUGUAAUAAAUCAUAUUUUGUACAAUCACUCACAAUUGCUAUAAUAUUUGGACUGUGAGUCCUAAGGAGCUUAUCUCAGACUUUAGAUUGGUGUUGACUAUAGGUAAAGAUUUUGCCAUUUGUUUUAGAAAAAAAAAAUUGCUCUUAAAUGCUUGCUUCUUUUCAGCUAUAAAUAAAUUAAUAUUUAUUUUGAUUUAAUAAUUUCAUAUAAAUAUUUGACUUUUCCCAUAACAAUAUAGAAGCUUUAUGUUAUGAUAACUUUAUAAUAUUUUAAGUUGGUUUAUAUUUUCCUUUUGCUGGAAAUCACAUAAUAAUUAUUUAUUUGUAGUUCUAUUCAGUAGUAACUUCAGCAAAUUUGAGUUUAAAAGUAAUAAUAAUAAAGGAGGUUGAGCAAGUUUCUUUCCAAAUGUCAACUAAAGUAGUGAAAUUCACAACUUUACAUUCAACUUUUCAUCUGCUAGGUGGUUUAGUUCUUAAUUAACAGAAAUUAUUCAAAAAGGCAUCAAUUUUUAAAUUUUUCUAUGUAAUCACACUUUGCAUUUUAAUUUUAUUGUGUUUGUUGACUGUAUGGGAAUUCCUUGAAUUCAGAUAAAUGCCCACAGAGAGUUUCUUUUUAAAAAUUGGUGAUUUUUUUGUCUUCCGUACUUUCCCUUCUAUUCCAUUCCCUUUCCUUCUUUCAAAACAUAUAUUUUGCACUGCAUAAGAUUCAUGUACUUAUAUGGUGCUGCUAUUUGUAUUCAUUAAAACAUUGGUCUGUUGGAAAAACACUUAAAAACAUUUUUUUUCUACUUUGCUAGAAAGUUUUAUGUUUUCUUUUUAAAAGAAAAAUAUUGAGCAAGAUUGGAAAGCAACACAUUAUACUGAUGACUAUUUGAAUGAUGCAGGUAAAAGUAAACAUUGAAUUAGAAAUGAGGAUACACAGCAAUGACAAAAACAUGAGCUAAAUUUAAGAAGACCCUUCUUAGCACUCGUUGCUUGUUGCUUUGCAUUAUGUAUGUGCUUUGCCAUGUUCUAGAUAAUUUCUCUCCUUGGAUUUAGUAUGCUAAAAUAGUGAAUAGGAUAUAUAUAUAUAUAUAUAUAUAUAUAUAAUGCUAAAAUAGUGAGUAGGAUAUAUAUAUACACAUAUAUAUUAUAUAUAUAAUUUUUUAAAAAUACUUUAAAAAAAUUCUUGGCUAUAGGGACAUAGCAGAGUUUCCAUUUUUCAGCUUUUCUAUCAUAUAUUUCUUUAUGGUUAUCAAAUACAGGUAUGCCAUGGUUCUGGAAAACAGAGUAGAUAGGCAUAUCCCCUCUCCCAAUCAAUUUCAUUCUUUAUAUCAUUGCAGAACUUUUGUUAUACUUAAUCUUUUAUUAAUAUAUGUAUAAUUGUGUGUGUAUUUGUAUUUGCCUGCAUGUGUGUUUAAAUUAACCAUAGAUUUGCAAGGGUGAGUACCUUUAUCUAAGAAAGUUUAUGUUGAAGCAUUUUAUAUGUCUAUUUGAGGAAGUCUAACUAUUACUACCAUUAUAUAUAAAAUUAGGUCUAUGAUCAUGAUUUUAAAAGUUUAUAAAUAGAUGCUGAGCACCUAUUCUGUGUUAUGUAUUUCAUGAUUUGAAUUUAUAAAAGAUAAAUAUUAUCACCCUUAUUUUACAAGGGAAAUUAAAGCUCGGACUUGCCAGAGCUAAUGCAAUCAGUAAAAGCAAGAGCUGGAGUUUCUAACACGUCCUUUCACUUGGCCUCUUUAUCCCAGCAUUUGUAUAAAGAUUUAAAGUUUACCAAGUAUCCUAGCAUAAAAGAUCCCAAGCUCACUGUUGAAAUAAAAAUAUAAGUUCUGAAAUACUUAAAAAGCAAAUGAAUUUGAUGAUGUUUAUGGUCGCUCCAUACUUGAUGAUUUGACAAAAGAUAAAUGUGUGUUAUUUUACAUUUUAUAGAAUGGCUUUAUUUAAUAUAAGUGGCCUAUUGGGCAUGAGUGUUUCAAAUAUAUUCUUCUUUUUGCAAAUCAGAAUCAAGCACUAGAUGAUAUAUGGCUGAAAGAGAUUAGAAAAAGAGAUAUUAAGGAUUUCUUCUUGAUUCUUUGUUUUUUAAAAACUGACAAAUAUUUAUUUGCAUGUAUAAAUUUACAGGGGGACUGAAAUAGACUAGCAUUGCCUUUUUGACACCUUUUAGAGUUUCUUUAUUUCCUGUCAAAUACUUUAUCCCUCAGUUUCUCCCCCCAUAAUGAAAUAUCUUUAUAUUGGCUUGUUUAAUUUUAUUUUUUAAACUAUUACAAAAUUACUAAAAAUUUUCCUUGUAUACAAUGUAGUUUCAUCCCCACUCUCUGCAACAGAGUGGGAAAUUUGUUUUUUUUUUCCAGAUAAUUUUCCUUUUGCUUUGAGCUUCAAGGAUUUAAUGAUGAUAUAAUAAAUUUAUUAAUGUUGGAAGAAACAUUAAUUAUGUUUGCUUUUGGAAGCAAAGGUGCUUUAGAAACUCCUUCUUUCCAGUCUAGCCAUUCUAUCAGCUGCCUAGAAGUAGCUGGGUCAAGGGAGGGGAAUUCAAUCACAAAGUGCUCAGACACUCCAGAUUUUCAUUAUAAGUCAUACAUGUAAAAGGGAUGAGGGAUCCACUCCAAAGUCUAAUAAACCGAAUUCUUCUAAAUGAAUUGCAAGAUUUCAUACUUUUGGUGAUAAUAGCAAACAACUGUGCUUUCUUAGCAAUUCAUUCAAAUUAGUAGUAAUGAAAUAAACACACCAGGGGUAGAGUCUGCCUAUGGUCCUUUAUUGGAAGCUCAUCUUGUGUGGCUUUAACCUUUGUACUAUUGUUACCAAAAAUGUUUAACCUAAGUCUAAACAUUAGACAAUGACUAAAAUAAAUUUGGAUUGUAAGACAUUUAAAUAACCCACAUGGGUUCUUCAAAAAUUUCAAUGCAUAGAAGACAAAUGCAGAAGAGUCUGCUCUAGAUUAAAGGCAACCAAGUACAGUAUGUGACCCAUACUCCUUGAUUGGAUGCAGAUUCUUGUACCCAAAUAAGCUGGAGGACAUUAUCAAGAGAACUGGGGUAUUUUUACAUUUGGACUUUAUAAUAGGAAGUGCUAUUGUGGUGGUGUUACAUUUUUUAAGUGUGAUAAUGGCAUUGUGGUUCAUCUAGCAGAAUGCCCUUGCUCUUUGGAAGCACGCUGAAGUAUUUAGGGAUGAAAUGUCAUGAUGUUUGUAGUUUAAGUUCUAAAGGUUCAGCAUAAGAAAAUAUGUUUAUGUUGAAACAUGAUAUUGCCAAUUUACACCAAUUAUUGGCUGAGAUAGAAAAAACAAAUGUGUCAAAAAUGUUAAUAAUUAUUGAAUAAGUAAAGAAUAUAUAGGUGUUUGUUGUACUAUUUUAAAUUUUCUAUGGCUUUAGAAAUUUUCAAAUCAAACAGGGCUGGGAAGAUUGCAUUUAUUUCUUAAUGAGCUACAAAAAGAGUUUAUUUGAAACUGGCAUACUAUAUUCAAUGUACACAGUUAAUUUCUGCUACUCAAGCCAAAUAAAACCUUCUCAUUCUCAGUCACGGGGUUUAGUACUCAAAUUGUCCAAAUGAUUGCUUUAUAGAUUUAUGUCACUUUUAGAGAAAAUAGCACUUAUGGCUCAUUCAUCAGAAAUCCAUUUUGAAGUAUAUUUUGUAUCUUAAACCAUAGCAGUAUCCUUUGCUGAAUUAAUUGGGAUACAUUCUAUUAUCAUAGAAUUCAAGACUCCAAUGCUUCGAUUAGUUUAGCAAUAGCAAAUUUAAAUCAUAAUCUUACUUUAAAAUUUCGCAAACUAUUUUUUUGUUGUUAAACUAUAUUUAUUAUGCAAGUCAACAUGUAAUAUCUUCCAGAUUAAUAUAAAAUGUAUUGAGAAAUGAUCAUUAUUUAAAUCAUCCAAUAUGGUUUUGCAUUUCUUAUUGUCUAAAAGACAUGGUUUUAAGUCCUGUUUAAGAAGUUUGCAUUGACUUCAGUGUGAGUUCUCUGCCUUGUAUUGCAGUGAAACGCAAGCUGUAAUGAAUAGGCCAUAAGCUCCAGUCUGCAGGACUUCAGAAGAUGCCCCUGUUGUAUGUAUCAGGUUGGGGAUUUGUUUUGUGGUGAUCACCCUUUCUGAUUUGAAGAUUGCAUGACAAGGAACUAUUAAAGUAAAGGGCAAAGAAUUCAAUUCCUUGAUGUCGCUUUUCUUGGACAGGCUUUAAAAAUAGGUCACUUAAUGUUAUCUGGAUUUGUGUAUUACACUAGCACCUGCUAACACUGCUAUACUUAAGGGUCUACCGGUGUAUUCAAUUUCAGGGUUUCUAGACUGGAUUCUGAUUCUCUAAAUCUAAAUAGGCUUCCAUUCAAAUGGUAGUGAGCAAGGUAUGUGGGAGGCUAUAUAUUUUUUGUACUAUACUGAGUUAAAAAUGAAUGUUUGCUUUAAUAUAUGCUGAGAGGUGAAAAAUGAAAAUGUGGGAUUAACAAAAUUAUCCUAACGUUGAAUAACUCACCAUUUGCAUUUUUUAAAAAAGUCUAUGAAUUGUGCAAUUAGAUAUCUACUUAAAGAUCCAUUACAAUGGUAAUUACAAGUUUCUGUUAUAUUUUAAUCAUGAACAUAUUAAUGUGCUACCUUUUAGCUAUUGUUAAAUUUCACCUUUUAAAUGUGUUUAGAAUGGGCAAUUAUGCUUUAUUAUCAUGUACUAUUCUACUAAUAUAAAGAUAAUGUCACUAAUAUUGCAUAUAUAUGUACAUAUACACAUGUAGACACAGAUUUUAUAUACUAUCACUUCAUUCAAGAAAUAUAUUUUCUGACAUGUGUGUAAGUAAGUUUCUAAGUGAUAUGUAAUAAAAAUAGUAAUGAUUCUUUUCUCCAUAAAUAUUGAAAUUGAAUCGUAUUUAUUACUUAGUACUUACUAUCCCUGUCCUUCUUAAAGCUCUAUUUCAACAUAGUCCCAUUGCAGCUGUUUAUGCCAGUUCAGAAAUAUAUUUGAUAAAUGUUUUUAUUUUGUGGAUUUAUGACUAUUUUAAAAAAUCCAAAAGCUAACUAUAAAAGGUGACCAUUCUGUAUCAUAGAGCAAAAAUGCUGUACUGCCACUAGAAUCUUAUUAAAUACAAUAAAAACUGUCUUCUUGUUUGUCUGUUAGUAUUGUGUCAUAUAAAUUAGAAAGUAAGUAGUUACAUUGCCCUUUAGUAAUACACUGAUUUUUAGUGGUAAUUCUUAGAUUUCUACAAAGAUGUAGGCUAUCUAUUUAGAAACUGAAGUAUUAAACUGAGAGUAGUAACUAUUUAUUAUUUUGGUGACAUUAAACCUAUCUUUGAAUAAAUAUGGACAACUAAUGCUAUUUUACUAACCACUCCUAAUUUAAUAAUAUACUGUGUCAAUGCAUUAAGAGACUCUGUCCUUGAUGAAAUGAAUUUAUCAGAUAUGAUAACUAGGAUUCUUAUAAUAUCCAGGCUCAUCAGGGUUAGAAAAAAAAUUAUUUUGAAAGAAGUAUCAACGAUAGUUUUCCUAACACCACUGUUCCUGAGUUUCUUUUUAAGGACUUUGAUAUUGAGAUCACAUGCUGCAAUAUUUAAGCUUGAUGGGAUGAGUUAAGGAUAGGGGCUUAAGAUGGCUUAACUGGCAUUUCUGCUUACAUUUGAAAGACUUGGAUCAGUGUCAUCUGAGGCAUCCUUGUGGUCUAUCCUGACACACGUGAAAAUAUUAGCUAUGCCGAAGGAACUUUGGGAUAAGGUCUAUGCUUUGCAUGUUAGUUUAAUUUAUAUUUUGACUAAGAUGCUUGUUUCAUACAAAGGUUUCUAUGGGCAUUGAUUUUUUUUCCCUGUUGACAUUAAAUGAGAAAGCACUUUUUUUUUUCCUGAAAACCAACAGUUUUCUACGCAAAUGGGUUCAGACUUAAUUUUAAUGGAAGUGAAACAUAGUCAAUAGAGGCAAAUUAAAACCAUAUAAUUUUGUAAUCUUAGUUUAGCUAUAAUUGCAGCAAUAAAACAGUGGAAAGAAUAAUUGUGGAACAUAUGUUUGUGAGUGACAUUAUCUAGGUGACUUCCCCUUUACGGCAGUGUGCUGUCCUAUUUGUUUCCCCCUCCCUAUGUAUUGGAAUGACAAACCUGCAAGCCUGGAGUUAAUGCUGAUUGCAGCAGCUGCUUACACAUGGAGUCUCCAUAGCAACUGUGAAGGUUGCCAUGCAACCAUAUUCUUUUAGGGACAGUGAAAAUGCCCAAAGGCUUACUAAAAAUACAUGGGGAAAAAAAUCUGAAAUUUUCUUACUACUUUUAGUGGUUAUAAAGAACUAUGAUACAAGUUGAAAGCACAGGUCAAGCAAAUAAAAACCCAGCCCUGACCUUUCAAAAAUUGCUUGCUGUUGCCUGAAAUCUCAAGCUUUAUUCACAGAGAUGACUUUUGAUCGAUUCUAAAAUUGGUAGCUUAUGCUAGGCAGCCCUUGAAGACGGGAAGAUUCAGUAUGGUGCUAUUGGUAUUCCUCAUGGGGUUAAAGGUCAGCAGAAAGUCAUCAAUGCAAUAUUGAUUGGUGGGGCUGAAAAAUGCCCAUGUUUACACCUUCUCGCUGCUUAGGGUUGCGUACCAAACCUUAAGUAGACUCAUGCAGCCUCUGAGCGCGCUCUGGGACAAACCAUUCCAUCAGCAAAUGUGACAUCACUUCAGUCAGCUCAGCUGUUUCUGCAGCUUUCUAUAAAUAGCCAGAUAAAAAAUUGAAGACUACUUGCAGAGAAUUUAACCAACCAAUCUGCUUAUCCAAAUCAUUUAAGAUAAGUUGGGAUUCUGAUUUUGAAAUCUUUAGUUUUCCAUGUUUUUUAACAUAAAAUGUUAUUUUAAUAACAGAGUCUUUUUCAGUACACAUGUAAGAUCUGCUUAUGUGUAUCUAAUUUUAUGAUAGCUUGCCUCUUUAAAAGAGUGGCCCUUGUAAGAAACUGAACAGACAUUGGCCAGUCUCUACUGCAGUAGGCUUCGUUCACGUAGUACAGAUUUCUUGAGAUUAUCUAAUGUAUUAUUUUAGGAGCACAAAUUCAGUAAAUAAAUAAUAUGUUAGAUGGCUAUCAUCAAAUUAUAAUAUUGUAAGUUCCUUAAAAUCCAUCAACAAAGAUAUUAACAUUUCAAAAAGAUAAACAAAUAUGCAUUUUCUUUUAAUCAUAUCUCACAUGAAAUCAGUCAUAUUCUAACAUUUUCCUAUGCAAUUUUCUCAAAGAUGGUAGGUACAUUUUUGAAAUAAAUAUUUUUUUAUUUUUCAUUUUUUUACAAAGACUCUGAAAUUGCAAACUAUUCAUAUUAGACUAAUAAAAACAAUUUUUGUUACUAGGACAUUUCUCAAUUUUUCAUAGAUUUUGUACCAGUGGAGAUGAUAGCAAAUUACCUGGAUCAUAAUAACAGAGCAUCUUACUACUUCAAAUAGACAAGACAGACUUUCUUAAAACCUAUUUUAAUAGAUUGUCUACAAAUUAACAAAAUAUGUGGUUAUUUCACUUUGUCAAGUUAGAUGAACAAAUGAAUGCUUUGUUUGCAAGACUUUAAACAUUCAGACUGACCUAAGAUGUGAAUAUAUGUGUAUACCUGGAAAAUAGAAUAAACCUUCAUCAGUUCAGUGUGAAGCAUCCUUAAGAACAAUGAAGAAUACCCAUCUAGAAAGAAAAGCUUCUUCUAGUUACCAGCUAAUUUCUUAUGUCAUUUUGCCCAACCCUGCCCCACUUUGCUGCAAGUAGUUUGUUGUUUUUAAAAUACUUUCAUUCCCUUCUUUGGAAAGAUCAUGAAGGAUAAUAUAAUUUUAUUCAAGUUCAUUAUUUUCUUAAAAUAUUGAGCCAGAUAAAACUAGACUAUUAAUGUGUUUUUUCUGUUCAGUAUUCCUCUUUAUUGACAACUCAUCAAGAUCUGGCAAAUAACACUAAAUUGAAUUAGUGAUUAAAUUGAGAGCUAAAUUUGUUUUUUUAAAUAAAGAUUUACUUUAUUUUUAAGCAGAUAAUACCUAGAACCAGAUACAAAAGUAAUCUAUAAUAGAAUGAUAUAAGUUUUUUGAAAAAUCAUUAUAAGAUUAAAUAUGAAAAAUGUAUUAACCAUUAAUUUGAUACCAAUUUUUCUGGACACAGAAAACACUUUUUAAAAUUUAGAAGUAUUUGAAUGGACAGUCUUUAAACAAAUUAUAAUCAUGUAUACAUAAGCUACACAAUAAGUAGUGCAAACCAUCUAUAGAGCAGGAUUUUUAGGUUUUAUUUCAGAGGGCUGCUAGUUUGUAAAAUGCAUAUCAUAUGAUACAAAUUGAAACAUGAUAUGGCAUGCAAGCUUAAAUAAAUUAAGCUAGCAUUCAUUAUUACAGAAUUAUCUUCCACACUCUAGUACUUAAAAAACAAGAGAGAAAACUUUGCUAGUUUUAUAAUUAUUUGUUUCCUUUUGGUAUGUAUUUGCCAUGUAUUAAAACUACAUAUUUAUAUUUUAUGUUACUCUAGCUUGGUUUUAAUUUGAAUCUUCUUCAGUGAGUAGUUUUGAAUUUGCAUUUUAUAGCUUGUUAACAAAUUUAAGAAUACAAAUAGACUAUUUUCAUUGGAUUUGAUAGAAAGGACUCUUUUUGAGUAUGUGCAAAUCCCCAAAAUAUUCUGGCUUUUUAAGGUGGUGAUAAUUUAAAUUGUUUUUUCGACGACUGAUCCUAAAAUAGUGAGAAAAAUUUUGCACAGAUUUUAUUUAAAAACUGAAUAGAAUAAGAAUGUAUAGCUGUGGUUAUGGCUUUAUUUAAUUGAUCUCAAAAUACCCCUACAUGUUCAUCUAUGCCCAAAUGUAAUACUAGGAAUACAAGGGCUAAAAUUAUACUUAAUUUUUGAGCAUCUGUUUUAUAUACUCUCAAGUUUUUUUUAAAGGUAAGCAUUUAACAGCUUGGAAAGAGAAAUUAUUAAUAAAGUAUAACUGUUAUAUUAAAAUAUAAUAAAAUGCAUCUUAAAAAAAUAAUGUGAUCCCAUUUUAGGUCAGUUUGUCCUAGGGGGCAUUAUCAACACUCUAAAAAAAUUCAAACUUGAAAAAAAAUCUUUUUUUUUUCUUUUUUUUUUUAGGACAGCAAGCCAUUAAAUCUCAUGAGUAAUGUUGAAAAAAGCUGGAUUGUGCAUAGAUUGCUCUUUACCCAGGAUGCACUUCUGUCUGCAAGAUUCUGAAUAGAGACACACCUGCUAGCUAGCUGAUAACACUCUGGGGUCAUUUCAUUGAAGAAACUGUCAGCCAGGAGUUACUUAAAAUAAAGCCACAGACAAAAUCAUGACCUGCACUGUUGAGACUAAAAAGGUGUAAAAGCAGAAAGGAAAUGUAGAUAAAUGCACAUUCCUUUGUACCAUAACAAAACUUUUACAUGUAAAUUCAACUGAAUAAGAAAGAAUGGGGAAGAAUGUUUCCCUCUACAGUAGAAACAAAUUAGAUUGUUCAGCUGCACAUUUGGCUCUCAGCCAAAGGAGUCGUGUGCCAUGCUUGUUUGCCUACCAGUGCUGCUUAGAUUGGCAAAUGCCCAUGCAGUUUGAAGAGGGCAGGCGGAUGACUGGAUGCCUGCCAGGAAGUGUGUGGGACUGAUGCCACUGCUGGACUCCAUAGCCUGGUAGGAAUGAGGAGUACAAAGGCAUUCAAUAAUCUGAAUGUCCCUUUGCUUCAAGAGAGUGGUGCCAGGCAGCAUUUAAUGAGAGAUUGCUUUGUUACAAAGUCCUCAACAUCAAGUGGGCUGGUGAGCUCAUUAACCUGACUGCAGCAAAUAAAAAAGGCACACUCAGAAGACUCCCAUGAUAGCCUACUCAAUGGUGUAAGAGCCCUUUUGCUUCCUUUAUGGUGAUCCAUUAGCAAGCAGCAGUGUAAACACCAUAAAGCAAGCCAGGUUUCUGAUUGUUCAACUAAAGUCUGUUUCCCCUUGGGGAUUAUACCACCAGUUGAUAUAGGAUUUUUCCUCUUAAGGUUUCUAUCUACUAUAUAAUGACCGUCUUUGCAACGAAGGAUUUUGGGGGUUGCUCUUAACAGCACUGCUCCGGUUAAGGAAACAUGAACUGUUCAGGUGUCUGAAAGAAGGUAAUGAUGUAGGACACACAGAAACAAACUACGAAGUGGAGUGAUCCCAAGAGGAAAUCUUGCUGCGCACUUCUGAAGCCCAAAAUGGUGAACGCAUUACGCUACUUUUCUGCGUUCCCUUUAUUUUUAGCUUUCAGAGGGCUUUACAUUCAUAUGGGAGGUAGGCCACCCCUGCAGUUAGGAGACAGUUCACUGAGCAUCUCUCUCUGAGUGCUACUUCAGCUCUCUGGGGAUUCAUUUACUCUGCAAAGGCUCUUCAGCAAGGAUUCCUCUCUCCUCCAUUUGGAACAUAUUUGAUGGUUGGUUGUGCAAAAAUCUGACUUACAGUGUCUAAACAGAAAGCUAUAGAAUAAAAAAAUAAAAAUAAAAAAAACUGAAAGAUAAAGGAAGACCAAAAAAAAAAACAAAAUAAAACAAAACAAAACAAAAAAACCACAAAAGAUCACAACAUUACAUCUUUUGAAAUCCAAAGGCCAUCUGUUGCUUUGCUAUCAAAUGUGAGGAGGUCAUCGUAUGACUUUAGAGAUUGGUUUGAGAAAUGAGAAAGGAAAAGCCCAUAACUUUCAAGUUACCAGUUUAAAUCUAGAAGCAAUUACAGGUGAGUGACAACCAUUGUUUUCUGAUUGACAUUUGGUGGUUAAAAUGAAAUAAGUUAAUUGUCUUGGUCCGACGUUUAGUUAACAUAUGUCUGUAGUAAUCAAAAUUAUUAUGUAUAAUUGAAAAAAUAAUCUGGAUGUAGAAAUCAUUCAUUUUGUUUCCUCCAUAAUCAUUUUGGAGAAAGGAUCAAGUAUAACUUCAAUGAAAUCCUAUAUGAGAGUGUUUUGGCCCUUUGUUAAUUUUUUUAAAAAUAGAACAUACCAAUUUAACUUUUGCUUAUUUCUGAAUGAAAUAUGAAGUCAUAACUAGAGAAUUAACUGAAACAUGAAGAAUUAACAAAAAUGCCUUAUAUAAUAAUAAUAUUGAUCCCCUUCAUUUGACCAUAUAAAACAAAAGCAGCUGUGGGCAGUGUCUCAUGCCUGUAAUCCCAGUGGUUCAGGAGGCUAAAGCAGAAGGAAUUCAAGUUUGAGGCCAACCUCAGCAAAUUAGCAAGGUCCUAAGCAAUUUAGUGAGAUCCUGACUCAAAAUUUAAAAAAAAUAAAUAAAAUGGUCUGGGGAUAUGGCUCAGUGGUAAAAUGCCUCUGGGUUCAAUCUCUAGUUUAAAAAAAAAGAAAAAAGUAGGUGGUUGGGUACCUAGUUUUUCAAUUCAUAUGAAGAAUGAAUUAUUUUCAAGGAUUAUUAUCUUCAUAUAUGAAUGUUCUGAAAGUUAAUUACUUUGAGCUUGAUAUGUAUCUGUAAGGAGGGCAUAUAGAUAUCUAUAUAUAGAGAGAUACACAUAUAUAUUUAGUAUAUAUUUAUAUGUAAAAUAUGGUUAGAAAGAUCAAGUUGAAAAUAUUGAUGACUUUGAACUGGUAGCUUAAGUUAAAAUGGAAGCAUACAAUAGGAAAAGUAUCCUUUAUUAGUGUAAAGGAAAUAGAUUUUUAAAGAUACAGUUAGACCACCCAGAAUAGCAGAAAGGCUAAUGAAUACUUUAGAGGUCUUUUUCUGGAUGGUGAGCUGUUGGAGGAGAGCCACCAUGAUUUAUUUUUGUCUUGCUUCUUGUUGUUUCCUUGCUGUAUUUCUUCUCCUGUCUUACAAAACUAAUUUUAAAAAUUCCUUUAAUUGGUUUCACAGAGAUGUCUAAGCAGGGUGAUACAAUCACCCUGUUGGAGAAAAAGCACAGGCUUUAAAACAAUGCAACCCUGGGCUAUAAUUCCAUCUUCUUUACUGAUGAGUCGUGUAUCAUUGGACAAAUUCCUUGACUUAUCUAAGCCUCAGUUUCUUUACAAAUAAAAUAGACAGGAACACCUGCCUCAUAGAGGAUUAAAGUGCUCAGCAUCUAAAAGGUCAUAUGCACACUGCUGGCACAUAGCAGUUGGUAUUAUUACUGUUCUUUCACUGACUUUGCUAGUUUGAGCUUCUUGUUCAUUCCUUCUUCCUAUUUCUAGUGAUUUCCACAUGAUAAUCUUCUAUUUCCUGUGGUUAUCACUAGUGAUAAGAGAGACUCUCUUAGAAUUGUAAAAACGUUAUGCCCUGUUUCCCACAGAAACUAAACAUAAGAUGUGAGGCAAACAGCAUAUAUGUCAAUCUUCCCUUAGCAAUAAUAUACACUUGGGUCUCUGAAACAAAGGUAAGUCCUUCUUUAACCUCCAUUGCCUGGCCUAAUUAGGAAACUGGAUAUUAAUAUUCUUUUGUUCAAAAUGCAGUUCAAAAAUUUUUAUCAACUCUUUUGGUACUGUGUAGCACAACCGUAGGUCAGAGGGAGACGCCCCACUAGGAGGCAGCACUGUGUGGCCAGAAGGUUCUUUGAGGUCAGACUGAGCUGGGUUCAAAUCAGCCCAGUCACUGACUAGCAGUGCUUGACUUGAACCAAGUCUUUUUACUCCCCAAGGGCUAUUGGUUGCCGUUGUUAUCCAGAGAGUGGAAAUAAGGUUUUCUCUGAAGAGUUACUGGGAAGUGGUGUGAAACAGCAACGUACAAUGCAGGGCACGCCAAGGUGGUUUCAUACCUCAUCUGUUACUGGACAUCUUACUGCCAGAGCUGCUAAUGAUGCUGAAACCCAGUGUCCUGGCAGAGGGAUCAGGACGAGAUGAAAUGGCAGUAGAGUGAUUCUAUAAACAGCUGGGAAUGUCAGAGGGCAACAGAUUGGAGUAGUGUGGUGAGGGGGAAAGCAGCAUGUGUUUCUUCUUGAACUUGAGCCAAGUCAAGAAAAAACUAUUCCGGUUCCGUUAUGCAGUGGAACUACAGUAUGGCCAAUGAGGGACUCAGAUCAUUGCAAAACUAUUCAGCGCCACAUAAAAUGAUCCAAGACACCAUCUACUCCAGGUGAGGCUUCUACUGUAAUCUUUAUGCUAGUCUCCUUUCCGUCCACUCUUGUUCUUCUUAACAUUGCUUUCCCAUUUGAAAGCUGAAUUUCUUUUUUUUUCCCUGUUUUUCAAAACAUGUACCUUAAGUACCCUUCCCUUGACUCCUUUAUCCCAAUUCUCUUGGUGGAGAUAAGACUUCUUUAGUCACCAGUGAGUAAGGUGAGCAUUCAAAGGAGUGAAGGCAACAACUGCUAUUGUCCACUUUAGUUCAUGAAAGCCACCAAGUGAGUGAAUCCCAUUAUCUUCCUGGCUAGAGUUUAUUCAUUUAGUACAAUAAACAAGCUAAUGCUUGGCAUAAAAAUAACCAAAGUUUUCAAUCCCUCGGGCUGUAAGUGUUUCUCAUAUUGAUCAUAUGUCAUUUCCCUUUUUAAUAAUCUUACUUUUUGUCCUCUUCUUGGUUAAAGCCCUAAUACUGCUACUCCUCUGUCCCCUUUUGAAUCUCAGAAGACCACAUGUUACUCUGGCUCUAAUGAUUAGUUACUACAUUUGCAUAUGUGUUUGCUCAUUAUGUGUUUUUGGCUUGAAGAGCAGAUCUUGUAACAGAAGUUAUCAGGAGUGACGCUGCACAUUUCCUUUGAGUGGAGAUCUUUUCUCAACCUGAAGCUAUCAUUUUUCUUUCUUUCUUUUUUUUGAGAAAAAUUAAAAAGAAGUUUUAUUUAUUUGCUAGCAAAGGAGAAGCACAUGGGAUUCCUGUCCCAAAGACUGUGAUUCUGCCCAUCAGGGGACACAGGGGGCUUUAAUUUUUUAUUGUUAUUUUUCUACAUGAGUUACUAUAUUUAAUAGGUACAUUAAAAUGGUGUUGAGAGGGGUUGUGGCUCAGCGGUAGAGCACUUGCCUUGCAUGUGUGAGGCACUGAAAUCUAUCCUCAGUUGCACAAAUUAGUCAUUAUAGUUCUAUUAACAUUAUAGAAAAAUAUGGCCAAAUCUAAAAAAAAUUUUUUCAGCAUGUGUGUGUAUGUGUGUGUGUGUGUGUGUGUGUGUGUGUGUGUAUAUAUAUAUAUAUAUAUAUAUAUAUAUAUAUAUAUAUACUUUAUAUAGUAUCCUAAUUUGUUAGGUCCCCUGACAUGUUAUAAUACUAUUUGUGGAUAAAUCUUUCUUCUAAAAAUAGCCUGUAAGCAAACUCAUAUAUAAUACAUCCAUUAACUGUCUAGAUAUGAUCCUGUAUACUUUGUGUGCUGGUAGAGCUUCUUGGUUAAUAACAGCUAGGGUGGCAGUUUAUGUUGCUCUUUCCAUUAAUGAGUGUCAGUGUACUAUUAUGCAAAUAUGCUCAAUUUCGGUUUCUUUCUCCAUUAUUAUAUGAUCCUUUAGAAAGUUUUUAGUCAGUAUGGCAAAACCAGGAAAUGUAAUGGAUCUGCCUCAUCUCUCAAAACACAAGCAAGGAAUGUUAUAUCAAACUUAAGAAUUAACUCCUGCAAGUGGCUGAAGGAGCUUAUUGGAGUAGGGAUAGCCAGGUAAAAACUAGGUGGUUUGCUUUCCAAACAGUAUCCAAAACGUCAGUGCAGCAUGGAAGUACUGACCAACCGUGCCAUGAAUUGCAAGUGCAAGCACAUAAUACCAUGAUUUCAUGGGAUUGAAGAGCAUGAAAAAGUGACUCUUUUCCUCAAGUCUCUCUAGAAGGUGCUGAGAGCAGAUAUCUCUGUAGGAACAGUUCAGUUAUUACUGAUUCAGCCCUUCCAUUUCUAGAAUUGCAUCCUCUCUAUUAAAUGGGAUAAGUGUAUAUCCUUUAUAGGCCAAGUUGACAAACUAAUAAAACUCUCUGAUCCAGGAAAAAUUUUUCUUUUUCAGAUCAAUACUACCCAUCACCUUCCAUGGUUCCCCAGACUUCUGAUGAUGAAUUUUAGGUCGUACAUAAAUUAUUUCCUCUUUACUUUUCCAGAUUUAGCUCUCUAUUUUUAUCAUCAGAAUGGGCCAUUUUGAAUGUGUCAUUCCAUCUCUAAUAUUCCUGUUUUCUCACGUCUUUUCCCAGGGAGAGAGAAUCCUUUGGAUCUCUAACCUGGUAUUCUUCUCCAGGAAAGUCUCAAAGCAAUUAGGUCCCCAUGCCAUCUACUGCAAGAUUCUUCCACACUGCUAACCUUUCCUUUAAUGGCCUGUUGCAAUUCAUCCUUCUUUCAUAUUUAUGGUACAAUAUUCUGAGAUUGAGUAAGAGCAGAAUUAUGUGGGUAAGUUUACUCACCAUUUAUACUGAGCACCUAACAAGAUACACUUGGCAUGUUGCAUAAAUGCAAAUAUUGCUUGUUGAAUGACUGAAUGAACUCAAAUUCACUCCCUGAUUUGACUUCCACCAUCCUACUGUUUCCACACACUCUGUCUUCCUCCCGUUAUCUUACUAUGUUAUUCCCGAAAUACAUAAUGUACUUUCACAUUUAUCUGCCUACAUUUAUCAUCUUCCUUCAGUCUGAAAUGUAUUUUAUGCUUCUUAAAAUUAUACUCAUAGCAUCAGUAUUUUUGUUCUCUUCUACCAUUUCCUCAUCUCCCCACUAAAAAUUAGUUUCUCCCUAAUAUUUUCACUAGAACUUAGUUGUUUCUUUCUCAGAACUUCUGCAACAUCUAAUUAUAUCUUCCUUUAGCACUUUUUUCUCAUGUUGUUUUUGCAUUUACCAUUUUGCACGCUCUUGGAGGGCCAAAAUUAUGCAAAUGCUCUUUGUUCCCAGCCUGAUUUUCCAAGCACAGAGUCAUGUGCCUUGAACACAGAUUAUAUAAGCUUUACAAUUUUUUUUUUAAUUAAGUUGAUUUGUAGUUAAAUGUUUAUUUCUUGAAUCUUCAGAGGCUGGGCUUGCUGGGAAAGAUGAGAGUUUGAUCUUUGGCUGCACUUUGCAGAGGUAUGGUUGGCAGAGAGACUGCGUAUAGGGCAUGUGGUGGAAAGAGAAGAGAGGCCGGGCAGAGAGGGAGCUGCGUGGAGAAGCCGUGCUUAUGAGGGACAGAAUGCUUUCUCAGCUGUCUGUGGGGAAUCUGGGAGUUGGAUUGGUAAAGCAAGCAGUGUGUUGCUCAGUAUGCCUCGAUGUUUUGUGUAAAGCCUGCUUUUCCCUCCAGGAAAACUUACAAUCAAUGUCUAUAUUAUUCUUCAUGCUUCUGGAAUUGAAUUUGUGGGGUUUGGAUUGUGGUUGAUGAUAGGCAGAUGUAGGCCUCAAGACAUUUGGCUUUUUGUGGAUUAUAUAAUGUUAAACACUAAAAAGAAGACAUAAAACAGGGGUUGGAAAAGCACAGGAAUAUACUUUUGUUUUUUUCAGAUAGAUUUCACAGAUGCUAGAAGAAAAAUCCUUUUUAACCCUUUUUACUAAACCCUCAUUUCAUCCCUGGUUUCCGUUUGAUAUUUUAUAUUCCUACAAUGGUCCCAAAGUUAUUCAGUCAUUAAAAAACUUAUCAUAACAUUUGAUGCAGUCACUGACGCGUUAAAGGUCAUUUAUGGUUUAUGUGAAAUUACAUUGUGUGAAGUGACAUAUCAAGUCCCAAUGGGCUCAAGAGAAAAUACACUGAUUUGGGGUUAAAGAUGUAGUUAGGACAAUGGACGUGAUGUGAACUCUCACAGCUCUGGAAUCCUGUAGACUCCUGGGGAAUAAGGAUGUUAAUUGCUGAUGUCAGUUGAAUAGAGAUGUGGAAACAAAAGGAACCAAGUUACUUAUUUGUGCAUUGUAAGACCUGUCUGCAGCUCAGCCCCACUAACAUACAGAAUCACAGGCUUCUAGGGUUGAGGGUUAGAGUAAGUAAUUUAACUCUUAGCAAAUCUGGAUCCUUCAAAGACACUCCUCUUAGCAAAGAUCCCGAGAAAAGAAAAUAUUACAACGUUUUUACUAUAACUAUAUUUGUUUACACUUAUUAAAAAAUAUUUAAUGUGGGAUAUGCAUAUACCAUUGUUCAACUUGGUGAAAAUUAAGAGACACUGUAGGUUCUUUCUCUCAUUGCAUUAAGCCUGCAUGUUUCAGUAUAUAGGGAAUUACUUUUUAUUCUCCUAAGGAAAUUUCUAUUGGAAAGAAAUACAUUUCUCUCAUUCUCUUGAUUUCACAGAUAACUUCAGCUCAACCCCAUCUCCUACAACUAGACCUCAUAAUUGAAGAUUGGACAGAGACAAUGCCAUAUUUUUAGCCUAUUGUGGCUAUAUUUUUGUAUGCAUCUUCUCUUAAAUAAAUACUGGAAUUAUGGUAUCCAAAAUAAUGGGCAGAGUUUUUUCAUAUAUACCAUAAACAGUUAUAAAAAUAGAAAAAGAAUGCAAACCUACCCUUCUCUGUUUAAUAAAUGUGUGCUAGAACUUAGUUACUAAAGUCAUCCCAAGCUUUUCUUUUCCAGACUAAGUAACCUAUGACUUAGACCUUUUCUACAGGCCUCAAAUUGCAAUGACUUUUUCUCACCACAAUUGGUCAUUUACUCUAAGACAUUUAUUUCUACCACAUGUGUUCUGUGCACAUUCUUAAGCACACAGUCAAUCUUUUUGCCUUCUUGGCUGUCUUCUCUGAUACUGCCCUAAGUUAUUAGGCCACCUGAAAAAUGUAUAAUACACAAUUUUUCCCCUCUAUGAAACUUCAUUCUAGUAGAAAUGGAAGGAGAAUAUAAAAUCAAGAUUUAUUAAAUUUAUUUACUAGUACUAUGAGUUGUGCUUAUAUAAAAGUAAUGUCAUGUAGUUGUCAAAUACCUUUUCAAUUAUAUAUUAUUUUCUCAACUUUUACAGUGGAGGAUAUUGAAAUUCAGUGAAAUGGAAUGACUUCCAAAUUUAACACAGAUAGAUGGUAUCAGGACUGAAACUAGGUUUUUUAUUUGUUUUUAUUUUUUUAUUCCAAAGAACUUUUUUUCUCUUGAAAUCAUAUACAUGAAUACAAAGUACCAUUUUUAAAGAGUUGUAAAAUUAUGCUGAGCAAGUGCCUUACCACUGAGCUAUACCCCAGCCCCAGUUUUAAAUUUUGAUGUAAUCUAAUCUAUUUUUGUUCUUAUCGUUGCCUGUAAACAUUGAUCUUUAAAGUCAUCAUAAUUUGGUCUAAUUAUAUUAAAAGAUUACUUUUAACCUAAAAAAAAGAGUUGUAAAAUUAGCACAAAUAAUGACAAUAAUUUUCAAUUUCUUAACAUGAUAGAUGAGAGUGUAGAAAGACUCGCUGAAUCCAAAAUUUAACAUCUUGGGAUUAACAGAAUGUUGCUACCAUUGACAAACUCAGGAUACAGGAGGAUGAGUUUUAUAGAGAAAAAAAUAAUACUCCCACUAUUCAACUGUUCAUAGAAUCCACUGCCUUUCUUCCCUGGGUCUAUUCUUACCACAAUUGUCCUUGGGGCCCAUAGCUAGCAGGUAGGUAUUUAGACUGAUUCCAGAGUGAAGAAUUGUCAUCAAUGUGGCAAAAUGGUAUUUGGUAGUCAAGGUACUAUACUACAGUGGUAUGUCUGUGCCGGGGCAUUAUGGGUAAAUAGAAAAAGAUAUGAAACCUGAAGAUUAUGAAAAAUGAGAAACUGGGGGGAAAACAGAGCACCUGUAUGUACUUCGGGUCUUAGUAAAUUGUGAACAGGUGAAAUGAAAAUGAAGGCUUGAGACUCUGACAGGGUAUAAGGAUGUGACCUGAGUGUAGGAUAUGAAAGUAAAAUAUUUUGAAAAAAAUAAGUGAUAAUUAAGUUACUACAAAACUUAUGGCUGAACUUAAAUGGCAGAAGAAAAAUCAUUUGAGUUGGAAGUUUAAGAAACAUUGAGAAUAUAUUAUUUGCAGGGAUGAUAAAAUCUAUCAGAUUGAUGUUUACAAAAUAGGGUAUUGAGAAUGUGAGCCUUUAUCAAAUUUAAGGAUAUGGCUCUGUAAUGGGUAGAUUAUGGUGAGAAAGAAAAGUAGAAAAUAGUAUAGCAGAAUGAUAAUAGAAUUAAAGGAGGAGAGACUUUGUAGGGGAGGGUAAAAGUAGAAGUCUGAAUAUGGCAUUAGGGUUAGGAGAAAUUUAAUAAUUUUUUUGUUUCAUGGAUGUGUGUUUAUUUAUUUAACGGUGGGAUGGGAUGGAGGUAGGAGAAAUGGCAAAAGAAGGGUUGAACGAUAGCCCCAAAUCAGAAAGGAACUGGAGAGCUAAGUGGGAAAUGGGGUGGAGAUUGAAGAAGGAAUUCAGAUUUCAUCGAAGCCAGAUGUUCCAAUAUUUGCUGUAGUUUGGGUCUUGAAUGUCCCUCAAAGACCCAUGUGUUGAAUCCUUGGUCCUCAGCCAGUGGUUCUGUUGGGAGCGGGUAGAGCAUUUAGGGAGUGGGUGCUUGUGGAAGGAAGUUAAGUCAUUGGGCUGUGUCCAAUUGGGCUUGCAGGGGAUGUGGGGACCCUGGCUCUUCCUAUCUCUCUCCUGGUUGGCAGGAGGUGAGCAGCUUUGCUCUCUCACAGGCUCCCCAUCGUGAUAUACUGCCUUGCUAAAUGCCUGAAAGCAAGGAGCCAAUUAGCCACUGGCUGAAAUUUCCAAAACUUUGAAAAAAAUAAUCUUUUUAUCCUUAUAAGUUGAUUAUCUCAGAUAUUUUGUCUCUGCGAUAGAAAGUUGAUAGCAUAUGUAUGGAAGCAGACCUUUGAAUGGGGGCACUGAGAUAAGGUAGAUUUAUAGUGGGAAAACUCAGAAGAGACAUUGUACCACCUUGGGCCCUGCUCUAAAUUUAAAAUUUCUAUAUCAUGAUGUGAUAAAAGCUAUCAUACCUUCUGUUAUUGAGCCUUACAAAAAUCUUAGGUGGUAACAGUCUCAUUUCUAUCUUGUAAAUGAGCAAAACACAUUGGAAAGAAGGUAAGAAAAAAUAUCUAACUUUGAAGCAAAAUGGGAUAAUAUAAUAGCAAAGUGAACAAUGAAGCCCUUCUUUAGAAGCCAUCUUGUCCCUAGAAUUAUUUGGAUGAUUGACUAAUCCUGUUAUUCCACAGAAAAUGUUGAUUUACUGGCAUUGUCUAGGUCAGGGCUGGCACUGAUUAUUUUCUGAUAAUAAGUAAGUGGCACUGCAAGCCAUGCAGUUAGUAACAAUUGCUCAAUUUUCUGUUUUGGACUGAAAGUAGCUCAGACAAUACAGAAACAAACAUGUGUAACUAUUUUCCAAUAAAGCUUUAUUUACAAAAUCA